AACCUUAACUAAAAUUUAUUAUGGUAUAUAGAAAAAAGUUGAGGUAAAUUCAAUAUAGUUGAGCUUAUUUUACUAAUCUAAAGAUCUAAAUCAAAACAAGGAUUAGAUACCCUUUUAUUUUUAUUCAAUAUAUAAAUUGGGGACUACGAGCUAAGCUUAAAAACCAAAGAAUAUGGCGGUAUUUCAUUUAAUCAGGGUGACAUGUAUCUUAAUCUGACAACCCACGAUUUUAAUUCCUAAUUUUGAACUACAGUAUGUGUACUGCCGUUAUAACACAACCCUAUAGGUUGUGUAAGAGAUAUAAAUCAUUAUAUAGAUAGUCAGGUCCAAGCACAGCUAACAAUUAGGUGAGAAUGUGUUACACUUAUUUAAACAUUCAGUUUGUUUAUUUAAAUAUAAACAUAAAGAAGAACUUGAUAGUAAUUGUGUUAAUUAAGCUCAAUGAAAUUAAUUAGAAAUAUGCACAAAUCGCCCGUCACUCCUUUAUAAAGG
rnacentral:rRNA from 1 species